rnacentral:ncRNA from 13 species
CGGAAGGGCACCACCAGGAGUAAACGUUUAUGUCGCAGUUAACUCUGCUCCGAAAAGCCGCUCGAAAGAGUCAUGGUGUCCUUGAAGGCUAGUCAGUUCGCUGGCGACAUUUCCAAAUUGCGGGAAACUCCUUAGAGCUCAAGCUACCGCCUCUGUUUAGUGAUAGACAGCUGGCACCGGGUUAACGACCUCGGGUAUGGUAAAAACGUUUGAGAUUGGACAAUCCGCAGCCAGCUUCCUUGAGAGGAAGAAGGUUCAGAGACUAGAUGGAUGUGGGUGAAGUCUUUGGAUAUGAAGAUUUUGCUUAAGAUAUAGUCCAAUCCAAAGCGGAGACGCAUUGGUUACAACAAGUAGAAAAUGGGAGCCUGCGCUUAAUUUGA